UUUUGUUGUCAGCGCUGAAAAGGCCAGCACUGCACUAAGCAGAGCUGAAUUUUUACUCUGAAGGUUGCCAGCGCUGCACGUCUACGGCAGAGUCAGAGCUGAAUUUCCACUCUGCACUUGCCAGCGCUGACAUUCUACUCUGCAUAGACCGCAAACUCCCACGUUUCGCCACCUCUCACGAUGCUUCAGCUUUUCAAUGCCGAUAAUC
rnacentral:lncRNA from 1 species